rnacentral:lncRNA from 1 species
AUUUUAAAUCAACGGCAGCUUAGGACGCAACCAGCACAUCGGCACCACCGCGUUUACAUUUGUGCGUCUACCUAAUAGGCCUGCACGCGACGCUCGGACGCCACGCGCCACCGCGCGACGGGCGCCGCUCACGCAGACCGCGCACCGCCGAGGCCGCUGCGCCACCACGCGGCGACUCCUCGCUCCGAGUCCCGUCGCCUCCCUCCGCUCUCAUUUUCCCGGCCACCACACGAAAAUGGCGGUGCGUUUCACACCCCCACACGUCAGAAAGUAUCAAGAUGGCGAGAAUAUGACGGAAAUGUGCAAGUUCGCGGAAGAAUGUUCGUGCAAAAUACUUGUCUUGUGUUGCCUGAUAGAAAAAAAAAAAAAAUGCAACCGCACACACAGCCGCGUGCAGCGUGACUUCCGAGAGCAGAACGCGGCCAUAAGUUAACGCUGCUGCAGCUCACACACCCUCCAGCCUCUUAAGGCCGCUGUCUCUGUGUUUCGACGCUUUUCACCGAAGGCAUGUGGAGCUCCUGCCGCGACCGGCCUCGCCGUCUUUCGGUUCUGUCCGGUCCGACCGAGCGGCUCGCUCCGGAGACAACGCCCAGGAGGAGAGGAGCUCGCGACUGCGGGAGCGCGCGCCCCGUUUCCAUGGCGACACGCGGCGCUAGCGGUCGCUCCCUCACGGAGCCGAAACCUUACGCAAUCAGUGGUUUAUUUUUGUUUUCAUCACCGACUAGUUCGAAACGAAUGAUCUUGGCCGUAUAUCAAAGGAGAGCAGUUUCUGUGAGGUUGUGCCUCCAAUUGCUACUUACAGUAAACGUGGCUGAAGCCACUUGUCCCGAGCAGGGUCACGGAAAACCGGAGCCUAACCCAGCAACACAGGGCGUGGGCCUGGAGGGGGAGGGGACACACCCAGGAUGGGACACCAGUCCGUCACAAGGCCCCGAAGCAGGACUCGAACCCUAG